AAAGAGAUUUCAGCUGAAAAUAUAAUUGGGAUAGCUGUGCAUAAUUGUGUUCAACUGCAUGAAAAUAUUCUGCAUGAUGAAAUGCCAAAUAGUUGAUAAGAGCUGAAUGAUGUGAUGUCAUUGACUUUGACAAACCUAUUUUCUAAAUUUACAGCUAGCCAGCGACAAAACGUGUUUACAUGAUAUUGUAUCAGUCAAUUAUAUUGAUAUGUCAAAUUUUAUUAAUUAUAGAGGAAGCGAG
rnacentral:misc_RNA from 1 species